rnacentral:rRNA from 1 species
AGUAAAAGUCGUAACAAGGUUUCCGUAGGUGAACCUGCGGAAGGAUCAUUAUUGUAACACAGGGGGUGCCGGGGCUGUCGCUGACAUUCAAGGUUGUGCACGCCCCGAGCAUUCUCUCAUUCACAUCCAYCACACCUUUGUGCAUCACCGCGUGGGCUCCCUUCGAUUUAAAAAAGAGGGGAUGCUUGCGUUUUCACACAUACACACAAUUACAUAGAAUGUUCACACUUGCGAUCACACGCAAAUCAAUACAACUUUCAACAACGGAUCUCUUGGCUCUCGCAUCGAUGAAGAACGCAGCGAAAUGCGAUACGUAAUGUGAAUUGCAGAAUUCAGUGAAUCAUCGAAUCUUUGAACGCACCUUGCGCCCCUUGGCAUUCCGAGGGGCACACCCGUUUGAGUGUCGUGAAAUCCUCAACCUUCUCUGCUUCUUUUUGAUCGGGGAAAGGCUUGGACUUUGGAGGCUUCUGCUGGCAUCUCAUGAAGCCAGCUCCUCUUAAAUGCAUUAGCGGGGGGUUUCCUUUUGUCAAUCCUCGACGUGAUAAAGUUUUUCUACGUCUAGGUCUUGACUUUAAGACCCGCUUCUAAUGGUCUCGUUGAGACGCUUGGUCGAGUUUUGCCCCUCAGUUGGGGUGGGACUUUGGCCCAUAUGAACCAUUUGACCUCAAAUCGGGUGAGACUACCCGCUGAACUUAAGCNNNNNNNNNAGCGGAGGAAAAGAAACUAACAAGGAUUCCCCUAGUAACUGCGAGUGAAGCGGGAAAAGCUCAAAUUUAAAAUCUGGCAGUCUUUUGGCUGUCCGAGUUGUAAUUUAGAGAAGCGUCUUCCGCGCCGGACCGUGCACAAGUCUCCUGGAAUGGAGCGUCAUAGAGGGUGAGAAUCCCGUCUUUGGCAUGGACACCCGGGGCUUCUGCGAUGCGCUCUCGAAGAGUCGAGUUGUUUGGGAAUGCAGCUCAAAAUGGGUGGUGAACUCCAUCUAAAGCUAAAUAUUGGCGAGAGACCGAUAGCGAACAAGUACCGUGAGGGAAAGAUGAAAAGCACUUUGGAAAGAGAGUGAAACAGUACGUGAAAUUGUUGAAAGGGAAACGCUUGAAGUCAGUCGCGUCGAUCGAGACUCAGCCUUGCCUUGGCUUGGCAUACUUCUCGGCUGACGGGCCAGCAUCAAUUUUGUCUCUCGGAUAAUGACAAGGGAAAGGUGGCACCUUCACCGGUGUGUUAUAGUCUCCUGUCGCAUGCGAGGGGUGGGAUUGAGGAACUCAGCACGCACCUCUUGGUGUCGGGGCUUCUGCCCACGCUACGUGCUUAGGAUGUUGGCGUAAUGGCUUUAAACGACCCGUCUUGAAACACGGACCAAGGAGUCUAACAUGCCCGCGAGUGUUCGGGUGGAAAACCCGUGCGCGUAAUGAAAGUGAAAGUUGGGACCUCUAUCGUGGAGGGCACCGACGCCCGGACCAGACCUUCUGUGACGGAUCUGCGGUAGAGCGUGCAUGUUGGGACCCGAAAGAUGGUGAACUAUGCCUGAAUAGGGUGAAGCCAGAGGAAACUCUGGUGGAGGCUCGUAGCGAUUCUGACGAGCAAAUCGAUCGUCAAAUUUGGGUAUAGGRRCGAAAGACUAAUCGAACCAUCUAGUAGCUGUCC